GUUUUCUCCUCCGUCACUCCUGUCAUACCCAUGAUAUGAUUCUACCCGCUGAGCCCUGGAUGCCAGAGGGUGAGGAGCUGGUGCUGGUGAGCUGGAGCUCGAGAAGUGGGGUCCCGAGGUGGAAUCUGGGGUGGGAGUGGUCCCGGGUGGUCCGCGCAAAGAUAGGUGGAGUUCCAAAUUAAAGUACCUCAAGCCAAAUACCCGGACACCAAAGGCUGUUGGAGUUGAACAUUAAUGGUUCGGGAAGGAGAUGGGAGGGGAGUGGAGCAGAGAGGGCAGAGCCAAGACCUACGGGGAAGCUUAGUCCUGAGCUAACAUCUGCUGCCAAUCCUUCUCUUUUUGCUGAGGAAGACUGGCCCUGAGCUAACAUCCGUGCCCAUCUUUCUCCACUUUAUAUGUGGGACGCCUACCACAUGGCUUGCCAAGUGGUGCCAUGUCUGCACCUGGGAUCCAAACUGGCAAACCCUGGGCCACCAAAGAGGAAUGUGUGAACUUAACUGCUGCGCCACCGGGCUGGCCCUGUAGUGAGAUCUUUAACCAUGCCACUUUAAGUCUUUUGUCAUUUACAGACAGUUAUUGUUUUACUCUGAUACUUUUGGAAAUGUGUCUCAUCUUCAGAGAGCUUCAUGGAAAGGACUCUGACCUUCUAGAAUUCAGGUUUCUAGUAAAAUUUCAAAUUAUAAAACUGAACUGGGUAAGAAAUUACAGUACUCCUACAGAGACUCAUGGCUUCAUAAAAUUGCUAACAAAAAGGUCAAAGAACAAAUAAAUAUUAAUUACAUGGGACUACAUGAACCAGGGAGGAUGCUCUAAUGUUUUUUUUUUCCAGAUUUAAAGAAAUCUUUUCUCUUAAGCUGUCACAACGUGGUAGGAUAUAUCUUUGUGAACAAAGAUGAAACAUUUACUUUUUCUCCCUACCUCAUCCCUCCAGAAUUCAGAAACUGUCAGUGAGUAUUCUUAUUUUCCCUUUAUAAAUAAUCAGACCAAGUUUUAAAUUUAAACAAAUGUUUUACUGUUAUUAUUUUUGGUAAAAAAUGAGGGUAAUUGUAGAGAGAAAAAUUAUGUUUGCACCUUUGUAGAUAUUAGAUUCUAGUCCUGUUAAUUGUCUUUGAGGUUUUGUUAUAUACCUGUUGACUGGAUUCCUCUGACCUAAGGUAUUGUCUUUGGUCUUGCCAACUAUUCCCAGUACCCUCUUUGGAAAACAUACUCACUCCACAUAAGAUAGUCACCAGCAGAUAAAUGUCUGUUGACAUACAACCUUCUGCUGAUCCCUCGUUGUCUUAUGCUAGUAUGACCAGUUACUGUAAGUUUCUACUGUCUUCUACUCAAGGCUUUCAUCAACAGGUAAAAGAAACUUUCCUGGAUUCCAAUUUAAAGCAUCCUAUUGGUCAGUCUAGAGCCUGGUGACUAGGUAUUCUGGAAGCAUCAUCAGAGGAAGACAGCCCUCAAGCCUUGUUGAAAAGGACCUUACCAAGUGCUCCUGACCACUGAUACUACUGCAGAACUAGAAGGCAUUGAACCUUGGAGAUACAUCUCACAGCUAAAGAAGGCUACACCCAACAUUUGGUCCUGUGUGAAUGCUGGAGACCUCCAAAUCAAACUGACCAGAAAGAGAAGCAGCCAACAUCUGAAACAGAUAGCUUUUCCAAGAUGGCUGCACCAAGCCUGUACACCUUUUACUCACUGUUGCACCUUACCUUAUUUUCUGUCUGUCUGUCUUGGAAAGACAAUACUCUUAUCCACAUCUCCCAAUCUAUUGCCAAAAGGGUAAAUCUUUCUGACUGUUGGGUUUGUCAUCAGAAGCCUCAUUCUGUACAUGAAUCUAGAGAAUCUUUUAGCACAUUUAAUUACCAAUCUCUCCACCAUUCCUCUCCUAAUUCCUUAUGCUGUCUAGAACUCCUUGCCUAACCAAUUGAACCUCCAGAAAUUGAACUGGUAACAUUGUAACUAUUGUAAAUGCCUCUUGUUGAACUUGGGUAAACACCUCCAGCAAGGUAAAGACAGAACUAGACAGAAUUUGAGCACAAGCUGAAAGAUUCGAUGCAGUGCCCACUGACAUCCCGUAGUUCUUUGAUCUGUUUAGCUGGCUACCCUCAAGAACUGUCUCUUGGUUCAGGUCUAUUCUGCAAUUUGGACUUAGCAUUUUGUUUAUUAUUAUAGAAAUUCUCACUUUUGUAAAACGUCUCUUCUGCAUGGCUUGAUGUUAUAAAAACACCACUUGGAUAAUGGUCGCUCAGUGUUUUGAAAUGAUUGCUAAAGCUUACAAGCCUUCACCUGAGAAACUUCAAGGAACUAAAGACAAUGUCUGCCCUUGAAAGAACUUGAUGGUAAGGCUUUUCUCUGCUCUGGCACUCCUGUUGCUCAAAUGUGGCCUAGGAUCUUAAGGAAAACACUUUCCCUCCUACAUGGGACAUGAAAUACUAGGAAUGAGCCUUUCUGGUUAUGAGAGACCAACAGUGCUUUGAUGACUGAUCAGCAAUACUUUCCACGAAAGGUCUUGAUCAAAAGGGGAAAAAUGUCAAAAUUGACUUUAGUGGAGCCAUUUUAAAAUGGAGUUGGAGCUGCCUCUCCAGAGAAACUGCCCUGCCGUUUUGAACCUUGGACUGGGCCAAACCUUUGGACUGGGCCAAAAUGGCCACUGUUUUACAAGCAAUUGUUUGAGGAGUCAGUAGGAGAAUGGACAUCCUGAUCACAAAGGCUGAGGAUUGCAGACUUUCUGAAGAUAGAAUCAAUACUCAAUCAAUGCUUAGCCAAGACUAACUUCUGCCUCCAACUCCAGUUAAAAUUCUUUGUAACAUAAACCUCCCUUCUUUGCCUUUAAAAGCCCCUGACUUUUACUUCCUAGCUGGAUGCUAUCUGUGCUCCCCAAAAUGAAAUUCUUUGAUCCCAAAUAAAUGCUUUGCCUCUUAAUCUGGUUUCU
rnacentral:lncRNA from 1 species